AGCGCAACACUUUCGUGACAUACUCGGAGACCUUCUCUCGGCAUAUCUAAGGGAAUGACUUCCCCACUUCUCAGUCUGCAAUUAUUGUCCCUUUCUGCCUUUUUAUUUUCUGCUGUUUCGUGGCUCCAGACGCGUAAAACAAGACGAGUCACCGCGGGCUUGAGGAAAUAUAACGCCGGCGGACUUGGACACCCCGGAGGAGACCCUCCAACUUUAACUUGAAUUGGCUUUGUGUGCAGGCUGGUUGGUCCGUCGGGUAAGAUUCUGUUCAUACUGGAGUGUCGAUCAGAAUUGCAACGAAGCAGCAGCAGCGUGUCCCACGAAAAGAUCCGUGUUAGCUGACAGAAACGCGGUGCUGUGUUAUUGCGACAUUCUCGCCAUGAAAGAGGAACACAACUGUCAGGAGCCAGAAGUCGAGUGAGUUCUUCUGAUUCAGAUGAACAGCAGUGUUCUGGAGGGAAUCAGUGGGUUUAUGGAGAGUUCACAAGUCCUGCAAGAUGACCGGGUGGGGGUGAGAGAGCUGCUCUGUGGGGCGGGUGAUCUGACGAGGAGGACGAGGAGCCACAAUGCCUCAGACAUUGUAAAGCAGAGAGGAUAUGUGGACAUACUGUGUGCAGCUACCGAUGGGUCCAGCACAGCAGAGAUCUCGGCACUUUAUCCAGGAUAGCUGAUUGCUGUGGUGUGGGCCAGUUGCUUCAAAGUCUCAGUGGAAUCAUUAUUAGAGAGUGACUUUAUUUUUCCCUGCCAGACAUCAAUAUCAAGCAUCGAGACGAGGAAACCUGAGAGGAGACGAGCUGACAGACCGCACAGACCUGCUCGGGGAAGAUGACCUGCCAAGCUCAAAUGACACACAGAGGAAGUAUUUUGACUAUGUUUUUAAAUUGUUUUUUAUUGCCACACCUUUCAUGCAUCAGAUUGUCUCUCUUUUAAAUGUAUAGAAUAAUAAGGAGCCUCGUGAUAUGAGCUGGGACUUUUCUGAGUGGAGUUUGCAUGUCCUCCAUGUGUUUGUGUGGGUUCUUUCUGGGUACUCUGCUCUGAUUCAGGAUGGACCCCCUUUUAGUGCAGGCUUCAGCUCCCCUGCGAUUCUUAAGUUUGAUAAGUGGUUAAGAAAAUGGAUUGAAUGAAACAUACAAAUAAAAAUUGGUUUAAAAAACAUAUCAAAAACAA